UGGAUUGGCUGGAUUUGAACAGGACGUUCUAUACGAGAAGGGAUUACGUUGGUUUUAUUCAGUUAUUUUGGGGAUGAUUGACGUAUUAUCAGUGUACCGUAUGUCAAGAAGCAUCCUAUGGUGAUACAGCAUUCGUUCUCCGCAAGAAUAUUUCUCUCCACAUAUCUGUUGUAAAAGAGUGAAAGACAAAUAAUAUUUUAAAGAACAUAUAAAGUUUUUUUUGAAAGCUGAAACAAGCAAUAUCGUUAAAAUGGAUAAAGUUCAAGAACUUUCUGAAGCACUGCCUUUACCAAGUCAGCCAUUCUUAAACGUCGAAGUAAAUGAAUGCAAAGAAAGUUGAGUGAGUCUGUGUUAGUGAAACCAUGCUACAGGUGAAACUAGGUAAUGAACAAAUCAUGUUUUUGUUUUGUAAAGAAACUUGAAUAAUUUUAAUAUGUUACUAGAUUGACGUCACUGGUCAUAUGUUGUGCUUCAACAGACUCACUUCUUCAAAUACCACUGUGCUGUCAAAACGUGAACAAAACCAUUUAUUCAAUUUAAUAAUAAGCAUUAACAUCUUAAUAGUAUUUACCACUUUAUUUUAGCACUAUCCCAGAGUAUAGAAUUAUAAAGCUUGUCAAAGACUUUCUUAUCAACAUGAAAACAAUUCAUGGCGA